rnacentral:rRNA from 1 species
UACGUAGGGCGCAAGCGUUGUCCGGAAUUAUUGGGCGUAAAGAGCUCGUAGGCGGUUUGUCGCGUCUGCUGUGAAAACCUAAGGCUCAACCUCCAGCCUGCAGUGGGUACGGGCAGACUAGAGUGCGGUAGGGGAGAUUGGAAUUCCUGGUGUAGCGGUGGAAUGCGCAGAUAUCAGGAGGAACACCGAUGGCGAAGGCAGAUCUCUGGGCCGUAACUGACGCUGAGGAGCGAAAGCAUGGGGAGCGAACAGG